GACGAACGCUGGCGGCGUGCUUAACACAUGCAAGUCGAGCGGUAAGGCCCUUCGGGGUACACGAGCGGCGAACGGGUGAGUAACACGUGGGUGACCUGCCUCUAGCUCUGGGAUAAGCCUGGGAAACUGGGUCUAAUACCGGAUAUGACUCCAUGACGCAUGUUGUGGGGUGGAAAGCCUUGUGCGGCUGAGGAUGGGCCCGCGGCCUAUCAGCUUGUUGGUGGGGGAUGGCCUACCAAGGCGACGACGGGUAGCCGGCCUGAGAGGGCGACCGGCCACACUGGGACUGAGACACGGCCCAGACUCCUACGGGAGGCAGCAGUGGGGAAUCUUGCGCAAUGGGCGAAAGCCUGACGCAGCGACGCCGCGUGAGGGAUGACGGCCUGG
rnacentral:rRNA from 1 species